rnacentral:rRNA from 1 species
UACGGAGGGGGCUAGCGUUGUUCGGAAUUACUGGGCGUAAAGCGCGCGUAGGCGGCUUUGUAAGUUAGAGGUGAAAGCCCGGAGCUCAACUCCGGAAUUGCCUUUAAGACUGCAUCGCUAGAAUCAUGGAGAGGUGAGUGGAAUUCCUGGUGUAGCGGUGGAAUGCGCAGAUAUCAGGAGGAAUACCCAUAGCGAAGGCAGCUCGCUGGGACGGUACUGACGCUGAGGCGCGAAAGCGUGGGGAGCGAACAGG